rnacentral:lncRNA from 1 species
CUAACUAGGGCACAAAAUGCAAAGUCCAGGUGACUUUGGCAACAUGGACAUUGGGAAUGUUGGAGACAGUGGUGAAAACACAAAUAUGGAUAGCGAUGAUUUGGUUCCAAGUUUACAAGAAGAUAUCACAACUGAACUGUUAAAUGAUGUUGAGACUGUAUUGAGUAAUUCUAAAGUAGAUGGUCUGUUAUGGUUGUGAAAAUAAAGGGAACCAGAAAAUAGUGGCAGUACCGCUAUCAAACAUAGAUAUAUAAACAUAUAUAUAUAUAUAUAUAUGUGUGUGUAUAUAAAACACAGAACUCUUGGAUUUGGCAGAGUAUGGAAAACUGCCACACCAAAUAGAGCCACUGGAUAAAUGGCAGAAAACAAGGAAUCAUUAUUUUUAACCGACUCAAAUUUGGAUGUAAAGGGGGACAUUACAUUUGAAUUAAGUGCUAUGGUACACAAUUUAUCUAGAGAAACAUAACUUUAUACAAACACAUACACGUACACAAGAAGGUCACAAAGCAUAAAAUAUAUAUAUGAUGAUAUCUGUGUAUAUAUUCAAGCAGAUGCAUCAAGACAGACUUCUAUAGACUCACAUGUUUGGUUGUCAAUAGAGAGAGUUUCUCUCUAUUACAGCUCAUGGUUAAUUAUCCAUCUGUGGUAAUCUAAAAAUAAUAUAUUGUGUUAUAUACAAAACCAAACCAAA